rnacentral:rRNA from 1 species
GACGAACGCUGGCGGCGUGCUUAACACAUGCAAGUCGAACGGAAAGGCCCUGCUUUUGUGGGGUGCUCGAGUGGCGAACGGGUGAGUAACACGUGAGUAACCUGCCCUUGACUUUGGGAUAACUUCAGGAAACUGGGGCUAAUACCGGAUAGGAGCUCCUGCUGCAUGGUGGGGGUUGGAAAGUUUCGGCGGUUGGGGAUGGACUCGCGGCUUAUCAGCUUGUUGGUGGGGUAGUGGCUUACCAAGGCUUUGACGGGUAGCCGGCCUGAGCGGGUGACCGGCCACAUUGGGACUGAGAUACGGCCCAGACUCCUAAGGGAGGCAGCAGUGGGGAAUAUUGCACAAGGGGCGGAAGCCUGAUGCAGCAACGCCGCGUGCGGGAUGACGGCCUUCGGGUUGUAAACCGCUUUCGCCUGUGACGAAGCGUGAGUGACGGUAAUGGGUAAAGAAGCACCGGCUAACUACGUG